rnacentral:rRNA from 1 species
UCAGGCCUAACACAUGCAAGUCGAGCGGAUGAAGAGAGCUUGCUCUGUGAUUCAGCGGCGGCAGGGUGAGUAAUGCCUAGGAAUCUGCCUGGUAGUGGGGGACAACGUUUCGAAAGGAACGCUAAUACCGCAUACGUCGUACGGGAGAAAGUGGGGGAUCUUCGGACCUCACGCUAUCAGAUGAGCCUAGGUACGAUUAGCUAGUUGGUGAGGUAAAGGCUCACCAAGGCGACGAUCGUUAACUGGUCUGAGAGGAUGAUCAGUCACACUGGAACUGAGACACGGUCCAGACUCCUACGGGAGGCAGCAGUGGGGAAUAUUGGACAAUGGGCGAAAGCCUGAUCCAGCGAUGCCGCGUGUGUGAAGAAGGUCUUCGGAUUUAAAGAACAGGAAGUUGGAGGAAGGGCAGUAAGUUAAUACCUUGC